rnacentral:rRNA from 1 species
UACGUAGGUGGCAAGCGUUGUCCGGAUUUAUUGGGUUUAAAGCGUGCGCAGGCGGCUUCUCAAGUCAGGGGUGAAAGCCCAGAGCUCAACUCUGGAAUUGCCUUUGAGACUGAGUGGCUUGAGUACGAGAGAGGUGAGUGGAAUUCCCAGUGUAGAGGUGAAAUUCGUAGAUAUUGGGAAGAACACCGGUGGCGAAGGCGGCUCACUGGCUCGUAACUGACGCUCAUGCACGACAGCGUGGGGAUCAAACAGG